CAUGGGUUGACGCUCGCCCGAUGCAGAAGACUUGAUCUGGGACACCCUUUUGGGGGGGGUUGAAGUUGCAUGAAUUUUACCUUGUUCAAUGCAUUCAUCGGUUCUCAAAAAGUGACUUUCUUUCCUUGAAUUUCCAACACGGGCUAGGGAUGCAUUGGAUAUGAUGCUCGGGCCUUAGCGCUUGAGCAAAGUCGAUCCAGAAGAAACGGGAUGAAAGCGAGUCUAGAUGGCUUCACACUCUGUACAAUCGGCGAAAAAACAGAAACUGGAAAUUUUUAUUUUCAUUUUUCAUUUGAUAUGCGAGUAGGCUUGAUGGCAUUGCGCCCCGCAACAGUGGAACAUUCACGAGUUUCGCCGGUAAGGUUCAUCUGAGCGUGCAGAAAGAUUUUCCGCAUUUAUUUUUCCAACCACUGGAAGGACAGAAACUAUUGUGGUAAUUUCACCUGCAGCAAGAUGUGACCACUACCAUCGAUCCCCGCUAGAGUCUAUCAAUUAGAGAACCCGCGGCAGCUGCAACCAUUGUUAUUGCGAUUAUCCACAAAGCUUGGGACCCCGAGCUCAUCAAAAACCUAUCUACCUAUCCGAAUACUUAUGUCCACCAAGGUGUGGGCUGAUGUGCCGUCGAGGGGAGGCAGUAUUGUCCCAUGAGUGCCAGAAGCGGCGCAGGAAGGGAUUGUAGAUAAAUUUCUCGCCACGGAGGAAUUGCAGAGCUGCAUAUCGACUGAAGCCUUUUACGGGUAUGGAUUCCUGGAGUCGUCAUCGGCAAAGGAUAUCUCAUCUCGUCUGCUGCUCCUUUUUCGUCGCCUAUCCUCUUCAUCUGGCCGGGCCUCCACCGUCGACUGACAAGGUGACUCCUUAGUCGAGUCAAUCUAGUCCCGCUCGGGCUCGGGUUGAGCGAUACAAGAGCUGAUAUCCGGCGUACCAUACCAUACCUUACAAUACAGCCUCCACUCCACCCACGAGCCAGCUGGGCCAGCCUUUGCCCGGCAUCGCAUGCAUACUGAAGCCAAGCCACUUAAGGCAGGCUGCAUUUGACUGGUUUAAAAUACAGUACCGAGUAUGGCAUACAGAGAUACCGUAUCCGCCACCACAAUCCGUCCUAAAACCUCUGCAUGCGACCAUCUGCGACCAUCUGCAACCACCCACUUGCCGAGCAUAACUUGAGCAAAAAAACGAUAUGGAGAGAAAAUUAUUGAAACGGGAGGGAAAAAUUUUUGAAAGGCGAAGUAAAAUGCCGUGCAUCGUGUGGACGCGAAGUGCCUUCGAAGUCAGCGCGCCAUGAUUUUGAACGGGCCUGCGCCGAUAUAACCUCGCUUCGCCCCCGCCUUUCCUCUACUUCGGAGCAUUCCUUAUUUCCCCUUCUGGCUAUUCUCGCCAUCUCCUUACUUCUUCCUCUUCUUUUGUUUCUUCCGUUCAUCUCCAUCGUUUUGCUGAACCCUUCGCCCACCGCAUCUUCCCACCGCUUCCCCCGCGCCCUCUAAAACCCUCCUCCCGCCACCCUCACUUUAUACUUAUGCUCUUCCUUUCCCUUCCCGCUUCUCCCUCCCUCCUUGGCGCUUCUUUGCUCUCAUACAAAGCGUGGGCGAAUGGUGCAUUUAUUAUUAUAAUAUAUAAAUAUAUAUAUGUGGACCAUUAUACUCAUUCUAAAUUUCUAUCUACUUAUUAUUGAAGCGCUCCCCUGCUUGGCCCUAUCUCCCGAGUGCCCCUCAGCCAGAAUGCCCACAAUUCUACUUCCAGCGUCCGCUGCUGCCUUCGCGCCAAGGUCGUCUCCAAAUGUCGUGUUAAACUCCCGGGUAGAACCGUGGUUAACUGUUACAUUGAAAAGAGUCAACCGGGUCAAGCGUCCGCUUAAUAACGUCACGCAGCACACACGAUGUCUGACCGAAACCCUCUCAUCGCCGAAUGCCAUCUGGACUCUUUGUUCGAUUAUGCUUCCAAAGGCUCCUGAAUCUGAAUUGCGACAAGACGACAAUCCCUUAGUGGAAGCAUUGUAUAACUACCAACUUCUUCACGUGGAGGCGUACGUUGUUCACGUUGACAUGGUUUCCCAGAACGAAGUCGCCUUCAAACUCACUCCAGAGACUAUUGAAUCGCUAGUUGAGUAUCAUAAGGACAUCUACUCCGUGGACACUGCGGCCAACACCUGGAACUGGUCGGAGAAAGAGAUACAGCUUAAGAAAUUACAGGAGGAAUUCGUUCAGGCCGCCAACAGAUUCGUAUAUCGCACAUCUGCGACUGCGCUCGAGGGGAUGGAGGAGGAUGGUGCUGGUGAACUACUCUGUGGUCGAAGCGAUGAGGCCAAGGCUGCCAUUCUUGGAUUGUUUCUGCCACUACUACCUCCUCCAUCCCGCAUUGUUGAUGUGGUGAGGCCUACUCCACUCCUUCCCAGCUCGACCGGGCCUGAUAACUGGUGGCACAGUCCAAUCCAUCAACCUCACACCGAACAGGUUGAUUCAUGGAAAGUUGUCCCGUCCAGCCCCAGCACGACUUCCUCGAGCGAUUCACACCAGAGCCUUUGGGCUGCCAGCCUUGCGCUUAAUGAGAUUCAAGUUUCGUCGCACAGCCAACCGUACUCUACGAGCGCUACCAGGACUUUGCCCUUCCCUAUGGAACUACAAUGUAGCAGCCACAGGGAGUCAGGUUACGCGCGGACCUGCGAGAGCAUGAACUGGGAUUAUGUUUCCAUCAAUAACUACAUUCCGAGACACCUUAGCUCAGUGAACAUGUGGUACUUUGACCAAUGUUGUAAUGAGACAUGCGACUUUUGAUACUAGACAAUGCGAAACCAACGACAUUCACGGCAUACCCGACGGCGUUUCAUUUAAUCGACAAUGGUGACAUUUGGGGAGAGAGCAUACUUUCUAUUCUGUUUCUUACCAGUUGAUACUGCCUAAUCUUGUUUCUUUUUUCUGUCAUUGAUUUGUUUUUUGUCAUGCGUUGUUCAGCAAGCGUUGUCCUUUUUGUUUAAUUUGUAAGGUCUGGUCAUCUUGUUUCUGCAUUUUGCAUAACCGGCGGGUCGGCUAUUUGAUGAUUUAUUUUGUGACACACAAACUCCCUUGGCGGAUGUAAUUUCUUUUCUUUUCUCUUCUUUACUUUUGAGUUGCGUUCUCGUUGCCCAUUUCGCAUUUUUCAUAUUACCUCAAAGAUUUGAUGUGCCUCGCGGCUCGAAACGUCUUUUCUUUUGUCGCUUAUUAUAGAUUGCGGUUUAAAGAGAAGUACGAUACUGGGACUUGUUGACUGGCUAGCACAGUCCGUUAUCCCGGGUACUUUUUGUUCCCUCUCUUUGGUCCACACUCGCUCUUGGUACUGCGUACCGGACUAGCAAUCCUUAUACGGAUUGGUGAGGCUACGACCGGCGACGUCCGGGCUCUACCAAACAUCUGGCAUGUUUGUGAAUCCGAUCCACACAUGUCCCCAUUCUCGUCGUUUGGAAGGUUGAAUGACGAUAUCUCGGAACAUGGCAGCUACUGGCGACUCGAUCGACGCUCGACCUGUGGUUGAACUCGUUGGGGUGAGAAAGGGAAACCCCUCUGAGAUGGAAUCUGAGGUUCCGAUCUGAUGUUACCGUUCUUCCCGCCAGCUUAACGCUUUGCUUCUGAUAUCCCCAAUUCACCGGAAUAUCGGCCGGGUGCGUGGACUACUCCCCCUUCGAGGCUCAUCCUCUUUUCUCCAGGGCUGAUUUUCAUUAUUUUUUACCCCUUUAUCAGUCGAAUCACGCCCUGGAGAGGCCUCGCCACAUUUUACCACUUCCCUGGCUGGAAGAGAAGGUAGGCAGGAAUCGGAUGCAGGAAUCCUACAAACCGUUUACAUUCAUUUGGUUAUUUUUGGGCUGGGUGGGAAAACUCCGAAGCUGGGCUUUGGAGUGCUUUUUAUUUUGAUAUACCUCCUGUUAAUUUUGUUUGUUAGUGAUUCCCACCCAGCCACAUAGUCGAUAUAGUAUCUAGUAUAUUGUUGUUCGAUAACUAGUUUAGUUGACCCCCCUUGUUUGAAAUAUAAUAUUUUGGACGGGA
rnacentral:sRNA from 1 species